GAGUGAACGCUGGCGGUAGGCCUAACACAUGCAAGUCGAACGGCAGCACAGUAAGAGCUUGCUCUUACGGGUGGCGAGUGGCGGACGGGUGAGGAAUACAUCGGAAUCUACCUUUUCGUGGGGGAUAACGUAGGGAAACUUACGCUAAUACCGCAUACGACCUUCGGGUGAAAGCAGGGGACCUUCGGGCCUUGCGCGGAUAGAUGAGCCGAUGUCGGAUUAGCUAGUUGGCGGGGUAAAGGCCCACCAAGGCGACGAUCCGUAGCUGGUCUGAGAGGAUGAUCAGCCACACUGGAACUGAGACACGGUCCAGACUCCUACGGGAGGCAGCAGUGGGGAAUAUUGGACAAUGGGCGCAAGCCUGAUCCAGCCAUACCGCGUGGGUGAAGAAGGCCUUCGGGUUGUAAAGCCCUUUUGUUGGGAAAGAAAAGCAAUCGAUUAAUACCCGGUUGUUCUGACGGUACCCAAAGAAUAAGCACCGGCUAACUUCGUGCCAGCAGCCGCGGUAAUACGAAGGGUGCAAGCGUUACUCGGAAUUACUGGGCGUAAAGCGUGCGUAGGUGGUUGUUUAAGUCUGUUGUGAAAGCCCUGGGCUCAACCUGGGAAUUGCAGUGGAUACUGGGCAACUAGAGUGUGGUAGAGGGUAGUGGAAUUCCCGGUGUAGCAGUGAAAUGCGUAGAGAUCGGGAGGAACAUCCAUGGCGAAGGCAGCUACCCU
rnacentral:rRNA from 1 species